rnacentral:rRNA from 1 species
AUUGAACGCUGGCGGCAUGCUUUACACAUGCAAGUCGAACGGCAGCGCGGUCUGCGGCCUGGCGGCGAGUGGCGAACGGGCGAGUAAUUCAUCGGAACGUGCCCAGUUGUGGUGUAUAGCCGGGCGAAAGCCGGAUUAAUACGGCAUACGACCUGAGGGUGAAAGCGGGGGACCGAAAGGCCUUGCGCUCUUGGACGGGCCGAUGUCGGAUUAGCUAGUUGGUGGGGUAAAGGCGUACCAAGGCGACGAUCCGUAGCUGGUCUGAGAGGACGACCAGCCACACUGGAACUGAGACACGGCCCAGACUCCUACGGGAGGCAGCAGUGGGGAAUAUUGGACAAUGGGGGCAAGCCUGAUCCAGCCAUGCCGCGUGCGGGAAGAAGGCCUUCGGGUUGUAAAGCGCUUUUGUUCGGGAAGAAAACCUCUGGGCUAAUACCCCGGGGGGAUGACGGUACCGGAAGAAUAAGCACCGGCUAACUACGUG